ensembl:lncRNA
GCUAAGGACAAUGACGUUAAAGUCAGCUCUCGUUGACGGACAUCUUCACGCACGGGGUUUGGUUUGUUUAAACAGCCUGCGUUGAUUCCCGGCCAAACGUAAGCGGUUGGUUAUGUCAGAUCCAGAGUGGCACUGGGCAGAUCCAAUAGUUUUAAACUUCAACAGACACCCGCCUUCAAGUGAGUUAACGUUUGCAAAUUGAGUAUUGCCAGACUCUCUGUACAAAUGAAAUGAAGUACGAGAGUCUGAAAGGAACAGGCUACAUUACACCCACAAUUGAGCUCCAAUUUCCAUACAGUUCUCUACCUGCUUUUUACUGCAGUGGACCUCCUGGAAUACACUUCUAAAAUGCGAUUCUUACCCAUUGUGAACAUGUUGAAAGGAUGCCGAUUGGCUGUUGGAUGCUGGAGCCCGAUAGUGAUUCUGCUCGAACAAAUCUGCUGCAGCAGCACUGACCACUCGGCUGGCUGCGUGGUUCUUCCCUCUUGCACCAUCCAAUUAAAUCCUCAACGAUCAAAUCACCUGCAUGGAGGCACGAGGCCUGAUAUGAGGCCAGCUGAUGGCCAUAGAGCCUCAUGGAGGCCAGAGCUGUGGGUGGCAAGAGAUGAAGGAGCAGCAGCAGAGAAGCCAUGUCACUGUCCCAGCCUAUCAGGGGGGAGAUGCAACACAAAACAAGUCAUCAGUAUCUACUUGGAAGGCACAAAGUAAAGAGCACUAGCUAUUUGGAAUGAAAACCAACAUUGCACACUUAAUAGUGUCAUCAUUCUCCGUAGGUUUCUCAGCAGCAUUCAGAAGUCGGCACAGCUCUUUUGACUGAGUCAGUUGUUUGGCCUCUUUGAUAACCUUGUUCUUUAAUGCCGUGUCCCAUUUUUCAAACAUCUUGGAUGCUGUUUCACCACCAAACAGCAGCAGUAAGUCUUGAUUCAGCUUUUGAUCAUACACAUGUGAAUACAUUACUCUAAUGGUCAGAGCAUAGUUAACUACUGGAAACCAACCAAAUUAAAGACAAGAGUUUGAAGACUGGAUUUUAAAUAAAAUUCACAACUCACCAGUCCUUUGACAUCUAGAAAACUGGGAAAUGUUUUGAAGACGUCGGCAGAUCUCUGCGUCAUGCACUAGGUCUUGGCGAUGUAAGGCCAACUUCAUCUUCUCAAACACCCUUGCUUCAUCAGGAGAGUGAACAACAAAAUAAAUUGCCUCCCUGCAAGCAUCUCCA